AAAUAGUGCCAGGAUGGUCAUGUGGUAGCACUCCAGCUUGGGAUGGAUUUGGACAUAGUCUCCCUUCUCACGAUGUCUGGUGAUUUAAAGAAGCUGCUGCAUAAACCCCCAGACUUCUUAUUGGAUUCAACUCUCAUUCCCCACCAGCUUUUUUUUUUUUUGGUACUGGGGAUCGAACUUGGGUCCUUGCACUUGCGCAGCAGGUGGUGAAACCACUGAGCUAAAUCCCCAGCCCAGCCCACCAGCUAUUUUUAAAAGGGAACCUAAAACUACUCUAAAAAAUAAAGACUAUUUAAGAAAAAGAAUGAAGUGCAAACAAAUGCUACAAUGGAAGUGAAGCUUGAAAACAUGCUUAGUGAAGGAAACCAGACACAAGAGUCAGUAUUAUAUGAUUCUACUUGCAUGAAGGUCAAGAACAGGCAAAGCUGUGAAGACAGGAAUUUGAUGAGUGGCUGGCUGGCACUGGAGGAUGAGAGGGACUGCAGCUGAGUGUGGGAUUUGAUUCCUUUUGGAGUACUGAGAAUGUGAGGUGGUGGUGACAGUCGCACAGCCUUGUGAAUAGGCCGACUACCACUGAAUUUAAAAGGGGGAGCAAGAGGAAAUAAUAUGAGAUCUACAGGCAGAACAUCUCCUGGCACUGUGCAAAGGCCAAACUGGCCAAGGACAGAUUUGAUGUUAUGAAAGACAAGCCUUAUGUUUGGAUUACACAUCAAGUAACCAGCAGAGAGAAUUUACUACUAUGUUUGAAGAGCUAGAAUGAAAAUAAAGAAAACUGGAAGAAUUUUUGGAUCCUAAUGGAUCCAUGCACAGCCAGAGCUGUUGGAACAUUUUGUCAACUGCAUGGAGAUUUGUAUAUUCCUUCUAAUGAAACUGGUGAAAUGGGAGUGGCUGAACACUGGAGGAUUGGCUUCAGUAAACACUGCCCUCUAACAUGGUGGUGGAAACUUCCCUGAGUCUGAGAAGAGAGACAUGCUUCUGUUGUUAAAGAGAGGCCAAAGAUCAUUUUUCACAUGUAUUCAUUCUUGUAAGUGAGACCUGGCCUGGCUACUCCACCCUAUUCCCUGGUCUAGUUCUUUUUCAAUAGAACUUAUCAUGCUUAAAUCAUGUAUGUUUUCCUUUUUGGUUAUGUUU